rnacentral:lncRNA from 1 species
ACAACCACUUGCAGCGGAAAUAAAUUCUUUAUUACAAAAUGAUUACAAGUUACAUCAAGAUUUCAUUAUACAUCAUCGGAGUGAUUAAAAAAUGGUUCAAAAGAAUUACAAUUUGAAGUAUUAUAAAAUAUUUGUAACUUUGAAAAUACAUGCUAGCUUAAGUGACAAUCCUCAAUACAUAAGCUAAGGAUGGGAUAUACUUAUAUAAGAAGGCCGAGCUCACCGGAACUUAACAACAAUCACAAUCAAAGUGACUCGUAACCUGCAGCAACAAUGGGAAUAAAACCUAAGUACGCAAGUACUCAGCAAGACUUACCCAACUAAAGAAAAGACUCUCAAGGGUAUGCUGGUUUUAAAAGGAUUCAAGGUAAGGCUAAUCAAGUUUCAAAGACUCGUUUUGGCAGAAAAGCUUACUAGUAGUAGAUCCUUAUGCCAAACUUUUACUUUAUCGGUUAAGUAGUUUUUUUGAAUCUAGAUUUGCCUAAUCUAGAGCAUUCACUUGUCCUGGUCUAGCUUUCUUUUACCAAACUCUUAUUUUACUUAUUAACUACGAUGAGUGGUCGGGUGGUAGAGUCUCCAUGACCGAGGAGCAACGACGAUUCGAACCAAUUAUACCUAGCUGGGGAUCCCUAACCACACGACAUAUGUAGCACUUAACCCUUGCAUAUGUCAACCGUUCCCACAGAUCCUCCACAACGUGAACCGGCCCGCGCUACCCGGGAGCAUGGUACUCCUCGGUCCAGCCUCUAGCCAAGAGGGUACACGCUACUACCACCAUCUCCCACGCCCAGUGCGCGAUUGUCUUUUCACGUAUGGAAUAGCCAGGUUCAGGCUUACCGGAGAAUGUGGCUAGUUACAAAGUCUCCACCACAACAGGCCUACAUCGAACGGUCCUUAAUCGACACAGACGAGCGAACUUUCCUGCUCAACGUCUGGUCUACAUUACAUAUUAUUUCCUAAAACUUGAUACCUCAGAGAGGUACCCUACUUGAAUGAUGAAAUUAUCGCGGCCACAAUGGCUUCAUCAUCACAAGUUAUUUUAUUUCACAAACUCCCAUAUCCCGUGUUACACAUCAUCUUUUAAAAACAAUCCUAAAUUAAUAAGCAGGGCUAAGCAUCACUAAAUUUUCAUAAAACGGGUAUUAGGGUUGUUUAAUCAAGGAAGGAAAUGCAUCAACUAUUUGAUCACACAACUCCUAUCACCUAAUACAUCAUUCAAGGUGAUAAAACUUUUUAAAACAGAAGGAGGUGGCAAAUGCACCGAAGCUUGCCUGCAAUAACACUAGGUUAGUGUGGUUAGAUGAUGUCCGCUUGGUGAGCCUCAAAAAUCCUGACACUUGAUCAAGUCAUCCAUAGUGAGAGCGAGGUGGCUUGGGAAAGACACCAGGGCUGAGCUGAACCCUGCGGCAGCGCAUGGCGAGGUGGCUUGGGAAAGACACCAGGGCGGCCGCUCGGUCACUAGUGAGAGCGAGGGCGAGGCGAUGAGGGGACCUGGACAUGGAGUCGAGCGCGAGUUGCUGGGGCAAGCGCCAUGGCAGGCCGGAGCUAACGACCAUGGAGUUCAAGUAUGGGGAGGUGUGGCAGGCGAGCACCAGUUAGCUGUGGUCGGUGGUGGAGGCUGGCUCCGACGAGCACGACGACUGAGAGAUGGCACAUCCGCUUGGGGAGGCAGAGAAGCGAUGCAGCCAGGGAGCUUCGACGGUGGCCAAGGAAAUGAGGAUAAGGGAAAAUC